GACGAACGCUGGCGGCGUGCUUAACACAUGCAAGUCGAACGGAAAGGCCCUGCUUGCCGGGUACUCGAGUGGCGAACGGGUGAGUAACACGUGGGUGAUCUGCCCUGCACUUCGGGAUAAGCCUGGGAAACUGGGUCUAAUACCGGAUAGGAGCCAUUUUUAGUGUGAUGGUUGGAAAGUUUUUUCGGUGUAGGAUGAGCUCGCGGCCUAUCAGCUUGUUGGUGGGGUAAUGGCCUACCAAGGCGGCGACGGGUAGCCGGCCUGAGAGGGUGGACGGCCACAUUGGGACUGAGAGACGGCCCAGACUCCUACGGGAGGCAGCAGUGGGGAAUAUUGCACAAUGGGCGCAAGCCUGAUGCAGCGACGCCGCGUGGGGGAUGACGGCCUUCGGGUUGUAAACGCCUUUCGCUAGGGACGAAGCUUUUUGUGACGGUACCUAGAUAAGAAGCACCGGCUAACUACGUG
rnacentral:rRNA from 1 species